UACGUAGGGGGCAAGCGUUGUCCGGAUUUAUUGGGCGUAAAGGGCGCGUAGGCGAUCUGACAAGUCUGGUGUGAAAGCCCACAUGUUAACUGUGGAAGUGCAUUAGAAACUGUUGGAUUUGAGUUCAGGAGAGGAAGGCAGAAUUCCCGGUGUAGCGGUGAAAUGCGUAGAUAUCGUAAGGAAGACCAGUGGCGAAGGCGGGUCUCUGGACAGUUCCUGACGCUGAGGCACGAAGGUCAGGGGGAGCAAACGGG
rnacentral:rRNA from 1 species